AUGAACGCUGGCGGCGUGCCUCAUACAUGCCAGUCGCGCGAACAGACGAGGAGCUUGCUCCUUUGACGUUAGCGGCGGACGGGUGAGUAACACGUAGGUAACCUACCUAUAAGACUGGGAUAACUUCGGGAAACCGGAGCUAAUACCGGAUAAUAUUUCGAACCGCAUGGUUCGAUAGUGAAAGAUGGCUUUGCUAUCACUUAUAGAUGGACCUGCGCCGUAUUAGCUAGUUGGUAAGGUAACGGCUUACCAAGGCAACGAUACGUAGCCGACCUGAGAGGGUGAUCGGCCACACUGGAACUGAGACACGGUCCAGACUCCUACGGGAGGCAGCAGUAGGGAAUCUUCCGCAAUGGGCGAAAGCCUGACGGAGCAACGCCGCGUGAGUGAUGAAGGUCUUCGGAUCGUAAAACUCUGUUAUUAGGGAAGAACAAACGUGUAAGUAACUGUGCACGUCUUGACGGUACCUAAUCAGAAAGCCACGGCUAACUACGUG
rnacentral:rRNA from 1 species